GCAUAUCAAUAAGCGGAGGAAAAGAAACCAACAGGGAUUGCCUUAGUAACGGCGAGUGAAGCGGCAAAAGCUCAAAUUUGAAAUCGGCCACCAGGUCGAGUUGUAAUUUGUAGAUUGUAUCUUGAGAGCGGAUUAAAGUCUGUUGGAACACAGCGCCUUAGAGGGUGACAGCCCCGUAAAAUCUAUUCUCAUUGUAAGAUACUUUCGAAGAGUCGAGUUGUUUGGGAAUGCAGCUCUAAGUGGGAGGUAAAUUCCUUCUAAAGCUAAAUAUUGACGAGAGACCGAUAGCGAACAAGUACUGUGAAGGAAAGAUGAAAAGCACUUUGAAAAGAGAGUGAAAAAGUACGUGAAAUUGUUAAAAGGGAAGGGUAUUGAAUCAGACUUGGUGCUGUUGUUCAACUGUGUUUCGGCAUAGUGUACUCAGCAGUACUAGGCCAAGGUGGGGUGUUUGGGAGUGAAAAAGAAGUAGGAACGUAACUCUUCGGAGUGUUAUAGCCUACUUUCAUAGCUCCUCAGGCGCCUCAGGACUGCGCUUCGGCAAGGACCUUGGCAUAAUGAUUCUAUACCGCCCGUCUUGAAACACGGACC
rnacentral:rRNA from 1 species